rnacentral:lncRNA from 10 species
AGCCCAGCACAGCACAGAUUUACAAAAUGAUACACAAAGACCUCAGAGAGUCUUGCUUUGUUGUCCAGGCUGGAAUGCAGUGGCUCAAUUUUGGUUCACUGCAACCUGCACCUCCCAGAUUCAAGUGAUCCUCCUGCUUCAGCCUCCCGAGUAGCUGGGAUUACAGUGGUACAUCCUGUAGUUGAGGGCUUCUUACACCUGAUGAAAUACCAUAGGUUCUGCAUGUCAGAUGGAGUCUCACUCUGUCACCCAGGCUGCAGUCCAGUAGCAUGAUCCCGGCUCACUACAACCUCUGCUUCCCGGGUUCAAGCAAUUCUCCUGCUUGUGAUUUCCUCCAUUUGGAUUAGAUAAGGACCAAUGAGAGGUGCAUAUUAUUAUCUACGUUUUACAGAAGAGAAAACUGAAGUUUAAAGAGUUUAAGUAAUUUUCCAAGAUGGUAGCUACUGAAUGCUGAGAUGGAGACAACCCGUGGCUUCUUGCCUCCCAGGCUUACCACAGUGCUCUACGGCCUCAGCUAAAAUAUCUCAAUGUUUAAAGAACAUAAAAGGUUUUCUUUUUGCUCAGUGUCAUAAAAGUGAUGACUCAUCCAACACUGGGUCAAAAAUCAAUCACCAUUCCUAACAUAAGGUAUCUGAAACAUGUAUUUUACUGAAUAUUGGAAACCUCACGUGUUUGUGUAUUUGGGUUCACCCAUAUAUGGUAACUAGUGACCAAGUAAUCAUCUGGCGCCCUGAGUAUUGGCAAACAUCUACAGGAUAAGGCUGUCUUUAAGUCAAAUAAAUUUGGAAAGUUUCAAGUCACCAAGUCUGCAUGGUCAUCUGCUCAACUCAUUUAUAAA